rnacentral:rRNA from 1 species
UACAGAGGUCUCAAGCGUUGUUCGGAUUCAUUGGGCGUAAAGGGUGCGUAGGUGGCGCCGUAAGUCAGGUGUGAAAUUUCGGAGCUUAACUCCGAAACUGCAUUUAAUACUGCGGUGCUUGAGGACUGGAGAGGAGACUGGAAUUCACGGUGUAGCAGUGAAAUGCGUAGAUAUCGUGAGGAAGACCAGUGGCGAAGGCGGGUCUCUGGACAGUUCCUGACACUGAGGCACGAAGGCUAGGGGAGCAAACGGG